UACGGAGGGGGCAAGCGUUGUUCGGAAUUACUGGGCGUAAAGCGCGUGUAGGCGGCCCUGCAAGUCGGAUGUGAAAUCCCACGGCUCAACCGUGGAAGUGCAUUCGAAACUGCAGGGCUAGAGUCCUGGAGAGGAAGGUGGAAUGCUUGGUGUAGAGGUGAAAUUCGUAGAAUAUCAAGCGGAACACCGGUGGCGAAGGCGGCCUUCUGGACAGUGACUGACGCUGAGACGCGAAAGCGUGGGGAGCAAACAGG
rnacentral:rRNA from 1 species